CUCGUAGGCGGCCUGCCAAGUCCCACGUGAAAGACCAGGGCUCAACCCUGGGAACGCGAGGGAAACUGGCAAGCUGGAAUCUUGGAGGGGGUACUGGAAUUCCUGGUGUAGGGGUGAAAUCUGUUGAUAUCAGGAAGAACACCGGAGGCGAAGGCGAGUACCUGGCCAAAGAUUGACGCUGAUGAGCGAAAGCGUAGGGAGCGAACAGGAUUAGAUACCCUGGUAGUCC
rnacentral:rRNA from 1 species